GAUGAACGCUGGCGGCGUGCCUAAUACAUGCAAGUCGAGCGAACGGACGAGAAGCUUGCUUCUCUGAUGUUAGCGGCGGACGGGUGAGUAACACGUGGAUAACCUACCUAUAAGACUGGGAUAACUUCGGGAAACCGGAGCUAAUACCGGAUAAUAUUUUGAACCGCAUGGUUCAAAAGUGAAAGACGGUCUUGCUGUCACUUAUGGAUGGAUCCGCGCUGCAUUAGCUAGUUGGUAAGGUAACGGCUUACCAAGGCAACGAUGCAUAGCCGACCUGAGAGGGUGAUCGGCCACACUGGAACUGAGACACGGUCCAGACUCCUACGGGAGGCAGCAGUAGGGAAUCUUCCGCAAUGGGCGAAAGCCUGACGGAGCAACGCCGCGUGAGCGAUGAAGGUCUUCGGAUCGUAAAACUCUGUUAUUAGGGAAGAACAUAUGUGUAAGUAACUGUGCACAUCUUGACGGUACCUAAUCAGAAAGCCACGGCUAACUACGUG
rnacentral:rRNA from 1 species